rnacentral:rRNA from 2 species
CCCAGACAGCCAGGAUGUUGGCUUAGAAGCAGCCAUCAUUUAAAGAAAGCGUAAUAGCUCACUGGUCGAGUCGGCCUGCGCGGAAGAUGUAACGGGGCUAAACCAUGCACCGAAGCUGCGGCAGCGACACUGUGUGUUGUUGGGUAGGGGAGCGUUCUGUAAGCCUGUGAAGGUGGCCUGUGAGGGUUGCUGGAGGUAUCAGAAGUGCGAAUGCUGACAUAAGUAACGAUAAAGCGGGUGAAAAGCCCGCUCGCCGGAAGACCAAGGGUUCCUGUCCAACGUUAAUCGGGGCAGGGUGAGUCGACCCCUAAGGCGAGGCCGAAAGGCGUAGUCGAUGGGAAACGGGUUAAUAUUCCCGUACUUGGUGUUACUGCGAAGGGGGGACGGAGAAGGCUAUGUUGGCCGGGCGACGGUUGUCCCGGUUUAAGCGUGUAGGCUGGUUUUCCAGGCAAAUCCGGAAAAUCAAGGCUGAGGCGUGAUGACGAGGCACUACGGUGCUGAAGCAACAAAUGCCCUGCUUCCAGGAAAAGCCUCUAAGCAUCAGGUAACAUCAAAUCGUACCCCAAACCGACACAGGUGGUCAGGUAGAGAAUACCAAGGCGCUUGA